rnacentral:rRNA from 1 species
AGAGCGAACGCUGGCGGCAGGCUUAACACAUGCAAGUCGAACGGACUCUUCGGAGUUAGUGGCGGACGGGUGAGUAACACGUGGGAACGUGCCUUUAGGUUCGGAACAACACAGGGAAACUUGUGCUAAUACCGGAUAAGCCUUUCGAGGGAAAGAUUUUAUCGCCUUUAGAGCGGCCCGCGUCUGAUUAGCUAGUUGGUGAGGUAAAGGCUCACCAAGGCUACGAUCAGUAGCU